CAUGGUUGUCGUCAGCUCGUGUCGUGAGAUGUUGGUUAAGUCCCGCAACGAGCGCAACCCCUAUUGUUAGUUGCCAUCAUUCAGUUGGGCACUCUAGCGAGACUGCCGGUAAUAAACCGGAGGAAGGUGGGGAUGACGUCAAAUCAUCAUGCCCCUUAUGACCUGGGCUACACACGUGCUACAAUGGUUGGUACAACGAGUUGCGAGUCGGUGACGGCGAGCUAAUCUCUUAAAGCCAAUCUCAGUUCGGAUUGUAGGCUGCAACUCGCCUACAUGAAGUCGGAAUCGCUAGUAAUCGCGGAUCAGCACGCCGCAGUAAAUACGUUCCCGGGCCUU
rnacentral:rRNA from 1 species